UGCAGGGGGGGCAAGCGUUGUUCGGAAUUACUGGGCGUAAAGGGCUCGUAGGCGGCCAACUAAGUCCGACGUGAAAUCCCCAGGCUUAACCUGGGAACUGCGUCGGAUACUGGAUGGCUUGAAUUCGGGAGAGGGAUGCAGAAUUCCAGGUGUAGCGGUGAAAUGCGUAGAUAUCUGGAGGAAUACCGGUGGCGAAGGCGGCAUCCUGGACCGACAUUGACGCUGAUGAGCGAAAGCUAGGGGAGCAAACGGG
rnacentral:rRNA from 1 species